rnacentral:rRNA from 1 species
AGAGUUUGAUCCUGGCUCAGGACGAACGCUUGCGGCGUGCCUAAGAAAUGCAAGUCGAGCGGGGGAGCAAUCCCCAGCGGCGAACGGUCGCGUAACACGUAGGCAACCUGCCCCACAGACCGGGACAACACUUCGAAAGAGGUGCUAAUACCGGAUGCGCCCUCACUCUGACAUCAGGGAGAGAGUAAAACCCGCAAGGG